ensembl:lncRNA
CUGAGCGUCCACCUGCUUCCCCACUCUCUCAGAUACUAAUUGUGUGGGGAGGUAAACACAGCAGUCAAGUGGAGAGGACGGCGAGUCAAGCGUGAAUAUCAAUCUUCCCACAUCAGUGUCAUCAGAUGACUUUGACGGAGUUGAGGCAGGGCUCAUUAGGGCGCCACGGGCUGCAAUAACAUCCAGGUGGAGGGCUCUGAUGUUCGCCAGGUAACAGCAAAGGAAAAAGUGACGCACAGAGAGCGGAAGAAAAGGUCAAAACUGCCUGAACUGAGUGGCCAGCAGAAGGCUUCUACCUGCUUCCUACAUCUGGCUCUGCUCGGCUGCUCCCGCGGCUGCCACACAUCACUUCAGGAAUCUGAUGAACUGUACCAACCUCAGAUUAACCUCCAGCCCUGUCUUUCUUUUUCUGCAAUCCCAGACCAUCACUGGAGGUUUCCUAGCAGAUCGGGGCGUGAAAACAACAGGAAGAAAGAUAUCAGAUAACAAGGCGGAGUGGUGUCUCAGCCACCGGGAAUGAAGUGACAGGCCGUGAUGGAGCACAGGGACGGAAUCAGGAGAAAUGCAUCUUCAAGCUGUGGACGGCUGCACCAAGCGUUCAAGGGUAACUGAGACUUUGUAAUGAAAGAGUGGCAGAUUUAAAAUUUUUUAAAGCAA